rnacentral:tRNA from 1 species
GCCCCUGUGACGCAAUUGGCAGACGUGUCCGACUUAAAACUGGAAUCUUGCGAGUUUCUCCUAUCGGAGACGCUUCGCGAACGAGUCUCGCCAGGGGUA